CUUCUCCUACGGGAGGCAGCAGUGAGGAAUAUUGGUCAAUGGUCGGGAGACUGAACCAGCCAAGCCGCGUGAGGGAUGAAGGUACAGAGUAUCGUAAACCUCUUUUGUCAGGGAACAAAGGCGGGGACGUGUCCCCGGAUGAGUGUACCUGAAGAAAAAGCAUCGGCUAACUCCGUGCCAGCAGCCGCGGUAAUACGGAGGAUGCGAGCGUUAUCCGGAUUUAUUGGGUUUAAUGGGUGCGCAGGCGGUCUGUUAAGUCAGCGGUUAAAGCCCGGCGCUCAACCCCGGCCCGC
rnacentral:rRNA from 1 species